UACGGAGGGUGCGAGCGUUGUCCGGAAUCACUGGGCGUAAAGGGCGCGUAGGCGGCUCAUGAAGGCUGUGGUGAAAGUCCGGGGCUCAACCUCGGAUCGGCCGUGGCGACUCGUGGGCUGGAGCACUGUAGAGGCGGGUGGAACUGCGGGUGUAGCGGUGGAAUGCGUAGAGAUCCGGAAGAACACCAGUGGCGAAGGCGGCCCGCUGGGCAGUGGCUGACGCUGAAGCGCGACAGCGUGGGGAGCAAACAGG
rnacentral:rRNA from 1 species